rnacentral:rRNA from 1 species
UACGUAGGGGGCAAGCGUUGUCCGGAAUCAUUGGGCGUAAAGCGCGUGUAGGCGGCCAAAAAAGUCCGCUGUGAAAACUCGAGGCUCAACUUCGAGCUGUCGGUGGAAACUUUCUGGCUAGAGUCCGGUAGGGGAGCGUGGAAUUCCUGGUGUAGCGGUGAAAUGCGCAGAUAUCAGGAGGAACACCAGCGGCGAAGGCGGCGCUCUGGGCCGGUACUGACGCUGAGACGCGAAAGCGUGGGGAGCGAACAGG